GACGAACGCUGGCGGCGUGCCUAACACAUGCAAGUCAACUUGACUGAAGGAGCAAUCUGACAGUAGAGUGGCGCAAGGGUGCGUAACGCGUAAGUAACUUGCCCAAGGUAAGGAAUAACGUCGAGAAAUCGGCGCUAAUACCUCAUAAUGCAGCGGAUCCGCAUGGAUAUGUUGUUAAAGGUUUACCGCCUUGGGAUAGGCUUGCGUCUGAUUAGCUAGUUGGUGUGGUAACGGCACACCAAGGCUACGAUCAGUAACUGGUCUGAGAGGAUGAUCAGUCACACUGGAACUGAGACACGGUCCAGACUCCUACGGGAGGCAGCAGUGAGGAAUAUUGGGCAAUGCUCGAAAGAGUGACCCAGCAACGCCGCGUGGAGGAUGAAGGUAUUCUAUAUCGUAAACUCCUGUGAGAGCAGACAAAGACAGAUUAUUAAUCUGGAUGACUGUAUGCUCAGAGGAAGCCCCGGCUAACUACGU
rnacentral:rRNA from 1 species